GAUCAGCUCAGGAUGAACGCUAGCUACAGGCUUAACACAUGCAAGUCGAGGGGCAGCAUCAUCAAAGCUUGCUUUGAUGGAUGGCGACCGGCGCACGGGUGAGUAACACGUAUCCAACCUGCCGACAACACUGGGAUAGCCUUUCGAAAGAAAGAUUAAUACCGGAUGGUAUAGCUUUCCCGCAUGGGAUAAUUAUUAAAGAAUUUCGGUUGUCGAUGGGGAUGCGUUCCAUUAGG
rnacentral:rRNA from 1 species